UCCCCGCACAGGAAACGGUCGCUUAAACUUGGUGAAUGUAUUCCGGGUAGGUGGUCCUUAUUAAUAUUCAUCACCGGGUUUACAUUCAUCCCGUUCUUUGUGGCAUUUUCAGCUGACCCAGG
rnacentral:precursor_RNA from 10 species